rnacentral:rRNA from 1 species
GCGGCCUAUCAGCUUGUUGGUGAGGUAAUGGCUCACCAAGGCAACGACGGGUAGCCGGCCUGAGAGGGCGACCGGCCACACUGGGACUGAGACACGGCCCAGACUCCUACGGGAGGCAGCAGUGGGGAAUAUUGGGCAAUGGACGCAAGUCUGACCCAGCGACGCCGCGUGCGGGAUGAAGGCCUUCGGGUUGUAAACCGCUUUCAGCAGGGAAUAAGCGCAAGUGAAGGUACCUGCAGAAGAAGCACCGGCUAACUAUGUGCCAGCAGCCGCGGUAAUACAUAGGGUGCAAGCGUUGUCCGGAAUUAUUGGGCGUAAAGAGAUCGUAGGUGGUUUGUUACGUCGGAUGUGAAAUUCAGGGGCUCAACCCCUGACUUGCAUCCGAUACGGGCAAGCUAGAGUUUGGUAGGGGAGACUGGAAUUCCU